UAGGUCCGUGCCCAGGAUCUGAACCCAGGAACCCCAGGCUGCUGAAGCAGAGUGCCCAAACUUAACCAAUACACCACAGGGCCAGCCCCAAGGAAGAAUUUUUAACACUCCCAAAUGCACAAAGACGGAGCAGGCAGCCCGGAGAGGGACUGAGCUCCCUGUCCCUGGAGGCAGGCAAGCUCAUGUUGAGCACGGAUCAAGGGCCCUCCAGGAGCGAGCCUAAGAGCCCUAGGAGUCUAUGGCCCUGAGACUCCCAGCCGCCCUCCUCCCAACAGUCUGUGCGACGCCCGGUGCAGCAUUAUCUGCCCCCAUCCUCACAGUCCCAUCAUCACCACGGCACGGACAAGGAAGCCGGCUCAGAGAAGUCAAGGAACCCACUCAAGAUCACACAGCCAGGGAGGGGCAGAGCCAGGACUUGAACCCAAGGCUCUGCUUCCAGGCCAUUGGCUCACGGUGAUCUAGCGGCAGGUGGCGCUUCUGAUCUGCUUAUUCACCUGCAAACCGGGAAUUGUGUGUCCCUGCCCCAAUCCCAGGAGGACAAGAAGGAGGUGCCAAACACAAACGGCCCACUGCCACGGGCAUCCGUGUGGCUUCCACAUCCGGGGCCCCAAGACGCCUUCUUGGGUUUUUUGUUUUUUUGUUUUUGCUGAGGAAGAUUCACCCUGAGCUAACAUCCACUGCCAAUCUUCCUCCACAGCACGGCCACUGACAGAUGAGUGGUGUAGGUCUCUGCCCGGGAACCAAAGCUGGAACGCUGAAGCAGAGAGCGCUGAACUUAACCACGAGGCCACCGGGGCUGGCCCCAAGGACGCCUUCUGACAGCUGGGCCCUUGCACAAGCUAGGGUCUGUUCUGAACCUCCGUACUGCCCCUUCUCAAACAACUAAGCCCUUCAGAGCCGCGUCUGUCAGGAAGCCUGCUCUAGCGCCUCUGGCCCCUGAGGAGUCUCCCUUCCUGAAAUCCUUCUCCAUCGCCUCCAAAGCACCCUAGGGCCCCUACUCCCCACCAGAAACCCAAAACCAAACCAAAACAGGAAGCAGAGCCAGAGCCAGCUUUGGAUUCCCAGAUCUGUGAGCAAAUCCCAGCUCUGCCACUCUACCCUGUGUGACCUUGGACAAGUUCCUUGCCCUCUCUCAGCCUGUUGCCUCUUUAGUAAACCCAGGUAAGGUUAUCUUUCUCCCCAGAACUUGGGAGGAUUAAAAAAAUAAGAAACAUAUGGGCACUUGAGAGCAUUCACUUUAUAGAUAUUCUAUAAAGGCUUUGGGAUCCACUAUAAGCAUGCGCUAACCACACCUUCCACAACAUUCCUCCACUCCCUAGCCACACAAAGAUCUGCAGCAUCAAAAUUCCAGGUUUUUAUAAACAAAGAGUUGUUUCUAGAUCAAACUUGCCUGCCUCUUUUUUUAGAAGCUAUUCACAUAAAUUCAUCAUGUUUCCCUUUUUGCCUCAGCUGCUAGGAAGCUCAACAAAGAAUCAACAGCCUUAAACUUGCUACAAAUUCCUGGUACAAUGGUCUCUUUUUUGCUCUCUUUAAGUCAAUCCUGCGCCGACCCCCUACAUACACCACCAACUUUUAAAAACAUACUACUUUAAUUAUUCUGUCUUAUGUGGCUUAAUAUCAUAUCCCACCUAAUGUUCUUUAAGGAACUAGAUGGGGUGGGGGACUGAUAAAUCACUGACCACUGAGGUUGGUUCUUCAGGACACAUUUAAUACUAAACAAAGAGCAGAUCCCCUUCUCAAGGAGCUGGGCCUUUCUCCCCCCACCCCCACAUCUGGGCUGCUUCACCAAAUCCUGGGAAACAGAGGGGUCUGAUGGAGAAUUAGCUUUCAUCUUCCCAUUUACUGCCUCCUCCAUGCAGCCUUCCCGGAUCCCUCCAUAGGAAACGCCUCUUCUGGGCACUUCCGUCACAGACAAGAGCUUCUGGAGAGCAGGGCUGGGCCUGGGGCCUCCAUCACUACCUCCAUGGCACCAGACCAUGUGCCCUGCGGGAGCAGAGCUGAGUGUGUUAAUUAAGAGCUCGGGCCAGAAAAGUCAGACUACUCAGGGCUUGGAUCCCCUGGGGAGGAGGGCUGUGAGAUCUUGGGCAAAGAAUGGACCUCGGAGCCUCAGUUUCCUCACCUCUAAAAUGGGGACGAAUAGGAGGCUAUAAAGGCCUUGGUCAAGGGCCCGGAGCCGCGUGGGUACCUGGCUGGUGGGAGUUCUUACGGUUUCCCAGCAGGUGGUGGGGCCGCCUGGGAACCCCCGUCUCAGACCCAGUUGGAACUGUCCGUUGCCAGAGAAACAGCGGGAGAAGCAGCUUCCCCGCCAGCAGACUGGGGAAGGCGCUAAAAGGGGCAGGUCUUCAGGACUCUGGUGGGAGACCCUCACCGCCCCCCACCGCAGCCCCCCAAAGCUCCGCAGGGAGGACGAAGGCAGGCCACCCCCUCACACCCAGCCAGGGAGUCUGGAGACCUAAGUGCGCCAGCACAGGACUCCUGAGGGGCAUGUAAAGGAAGUCCUAUAUGGUGGCGGCAGGCUGAACAACGCCGCCCCCACCGAGACGUUCCAUCCCCAUCCCUGGCUGUGCGAAUAGCACCUCUAAUGGCAAAGGGAAGCAGAGGGUGAUGUGAUGACAGCAGAGGAGAGAGCAACGUGAGCUGGGAUCGAGGCCGACGUGAUGCAGCCAGGAGCCGAGGAACACUGGCAGCCUUUAGACGUGGAAGUGCCAAGGUGGAAGAAGCAACCAGCCCAACUUGUUGAUUUAGCCCCUUCAGGCUCAUUCUGGACUCCAGACUGUGAUCGAAUAAAUUUGUGUUGUUUUAAACCA